rnacentral:rRNA from 1 species
CCGGUUGAUCCUGCCGGAGGCGACCGCUAUUGGAGUUCGAUUAAGCCAUACGAGUCUAGAGGCUUAGGCCUCGGCGUACCGCUCAGUAACACGUGGAUAACCUGCCCUGUUCAGGGGGAUAACCUCGCGAAAGUGAGAAUAAUACCCCAUAGUUCACCAUGCCUGGAACGGUUGGUGGAUGAAAGCUCUGGCGGAACAGGAUGGGUCUGCGGCGUAUCAGGUAGUAGGGGGUGUAAUGGACCUCCUAGCCCUCGACGCGUACGGGUUGUGGGAGCAAUCGCCCGGAGAUGGAUUCUGAGACACGAAUCCAGACCCUACGGGGUGCAGCAGGCGCGAAAACUUGACAAUGCGAGAAAUCGUGAUCAGGGAACUCCAAUUGUCCCCGUUUUUACGGGGUUCUGAAUUGACUCUAAACAGGUCGAGUAAUAGGGGCGGGAAAUAUCGGUGCCAGCCGCCGCGGUAAUACCGAAGCCCCAAGUGGUCGUCGUUCUUAUUGGGCCUAAAACGUCCGUAGCCGGUUUGGUACAUUCGUGGGUAAAUCAGACAGCUUAACUGUCUGAAUUCUGCGAGCACGGCCAAACUUGAGACCGGGAGAGGUGUAGGGUACCUGCGGGGUAGGGGUAAAAUCCUGUCAUCCCGUAGGGACCACCAGUUGCGAAGGCUCUACACUAGAACGGAUCUGACGGUCAGGGACGAAGCCUAGGGGCACGAACCGGAUUAGAUACCCGGGUAGUCCUAGGUGUAAACGCUGUGGACUUUGUGUCGGGAAUUCUUCGAGGAUUCUCGGUGCCGGAGUGAAGAUGUUAAGUCCACUGCCUGGGGAGUACGGUCGCAAGGCUGAAACUUAAAGGAAUUGGCGGGGGAGCACUGCAACGAGAGGAGCGUGCGGUUUAAUUGGAUCAACGCCGGG